rnacentral:rRNA from 1 species
UUUACUAAAUCAGUUAUGGUUCACUAGAUCGUAAAUUUUACACGGAUAACUGUGGUAAUUCUAGAGCUAAUACGUGCAACCAGCUCGCUUCCUUGUGGAGCGAGCGCAGUUAUUAGAACAAGACCAAUCCGGCCUUCGGGUCGGUACAAUUGGUGACUCUGAAUAACCGAAGCGGAGCGCAUGGUCUCGUACCGGCGCCAGAUCUUUCAAGUGUCUGACUUAUCAGCUUGUUGUUAGGUUAUGUUCCUAACAAGGCUUCAACGGGUAACGGGGUAUCAGGGUCCGAUACCGGAGAGGGAGCCUGAGAAACGGCUACCACAUCCAAGGAAGGCAGCAGGCGCGCAAAUUACCCACUCCUAGCACAGGGAGGUAGUGACGAAAAAUAACGAUGCGAGGGCUUAUAGCUUCUCGUAAUCGGAAUGGGUACACUUUAAAUCCUUUAACGAGGAUCUAUUGGAGGGCAAGUCUGGUGCCAGCAGCCGCGGUAAUUCCAGCUCCAAUAGCGUAUAUUAAAGUUGCUGCGGUUAAAAAGCUCGUAGUUGGAUCUGGGCUUCUGAAUGGAUGGUGCGCUUUACGGUGCUACUGUCCGUUUGGUGCCACAAGCCGGCCAUGUAGUGCAUGCUCUUCAUUGAGUGUGCAUUGCGACCGGAACGUUUACUUUGAAAAAAUUAGAGUGCUCAAAGCAGGCGUACGGCCUUGCAUAAUGGUGCAUGGAAUAAUGGAAUAGGACCUCGGUUCUAUUUUGUUGGUUUUCGGAACUCGAGGUAAUGAUUAAUAGGAACAGACGGG